AACGAACGCUGGCGGCGUGUCUUAAGCAUGCAAGUCGAGCGGCAAGGGGUAGCAAUACCCCCUAGAGCGGCGGACUGGUGAGUAACGCGUGGGUGAUCUGCCUUUGGGUUGGGGAUAGCCAUUAGAAAUAGUGGGUAAUACCGAAUGUGAUGACAUGGUUGCGACCAUGUGAAGAAAGGCGCUACGGCGCCGCCCGGAGAUGAGCCCGCGUCCCAUUAGCUAGUUGGUGAGGUAACGGCCCACCAAGGCGAUGAUGGGUAGCCGGCCUGAGAGGGUGUACGGCCACACUGGGACUGAGAUACGGCCCAGACUCCUACGGGAGGCAG
rnacentral:rRNA from 1 species